rnacentral:rRNA from 1 species
ACGUGCUAAUCUGCGAUAAGCGUCGGUGAGGUGAUAUGAACCGUUAUAACCGGCGAUUUCCGAAUGGGGAAACCCAGUGUGUUUCGACACACUAUCAUUAACUGAAUCCAUAGGUUAAUGAGGCGAACCGGGGGAACUGAAACAUCUAAGUACCCCGAGGAAAAGAAAUCAACCGAGAUUCCCCCAGUAGCGGCGAGCGAACGGGGAGGAGCCCAGAGCCUGAAUCAGUGUGUGUGUUAGUGGAAGCGUCUGGAAAGGCGCGCGAUACAGGGUGACAGCCCCGUACACAAAAAUGCACAUAUUGUGAGCUCGAUGAGUAGGGCGGGACACGUGGUAUCCUGUCUGAAUAUGGGGGGACCAUCCUCCAAGGCUAAAUACUCCUGACUGACCGAUAGUGAACCAGUACCGUGAGGGAAAGGCGAAAAGAACCCCGGCGAGGGGAGUGAAAAAGAACCUGAAACCGUGUACGUACAAGCAGUGGGAGCCUCUUAAUGGGGUGACUGCGUACCUUUUGUAUAAUGGGUCAGCGACUUAUAUUCUGUAGCAAGGUUAACCGAAUAGGGGAGCCGAAGGGAAACCGAGUCUUAACUGGGCGUUAAGUUGCAGGGUAUAGACCCGAAACCCGGUGAUCUAGCCAUGGGCAGGUUGAAGGUUGGGUAACACUAACUGGAGGACCGAACCGACUAAUGUUGAAAAAUUAGCGGAUGACUUGUGGCUGGGGGUGAAAGGCCAAUCAAACCGGGAGAUAGCUGGUUCUCCCCGAAAGCUAUUUAGGUAGCGCCUCGUGAAUUCAUCUCCGGGGGUAGAGCACUGUUUCGGCAAGGGGGUCAUCCCGACUUACCAACCCGAUGCAAACUGCGAAUACCGGAGAAUGUUAUCACGGGAGACACACGGCGGGUGCUAACGUCCGUCGUGAAGAGGGAAACAACCCAGACCGCCAGCUAAGGUCCCAAAGUCAUGGUUAAGUGGGAAACGAUGUGGGAAGGCCCAGACAGCCAGGAUGUUGGCUUAGAAGCAGCCAUCAUUUAAAGAAAGCGUAAUAGCUCACUGGUCGAGUCGGCCUGCGCGGAAGAUGUAACGGGGCUAAACCAUG